rnacentral:rRNA from 1 species
UAUGAACGCUGGCGGCUGCUUAACACAUGCAAGUCGNACGGUGAAGCCCAGCUUGCGNUGGGAAUCAGUGGCGAACGGGUGAGUAACACGUGAGCAAUCUGCCCCUGACUCUGGGAUAAGCGCUGGAAACGGCGUCUAAUACUGGAUACGAACCGUGGAGGCAUCUUCAACGGUUGGAAAGAUUUUUUGGUCAGGGAUGAGCUCGCGGCCUAUCAGCUUGUUGGUGAGGUAAUGGCUCACCAAGGCGUCGACGGGUAGCCGGCCUGAGAGGGUGACCGGCCACACUGGGACUGAGACACGGCCCAGACUCCUACGGGAGGCAGCAGUGGGGAAUAUUGCACAAUGGGCGAAACUGAUGCAGCAACGCCGCGUGAGGGAUGACGGCCUUCGGGUUGUAAACUCUUUUAGCAGGGAAGAAGCGAAAGUGACGGUACCUGCAGAAAAAGCGCCGGCUAACUACGUGCCAGCAGCCGCGGUAAUACGUAGGGCGCAANGUUAUCCGGAAUUAUUGGGCGUAAAGAGCUCGUAGGCGGUUUGUCGCGUCUGCUGUGAAAUCCCGAGGC